AUGAAGUCGGAAUCGCUAGUAAUCGCAGAUCAGCAAAGCUGCGGUGAAUACGUUCCCGGGCCUUGUACACACCGCCCGUCACACCACGGGAGUCGGUCGCGCCUGAAGCCGGUGGCCUAUCAGUAAUGGGGGAGCCGUCUAUGGCGAGAUUGGUAACUGGGGUGAAGUCGUAACAAGGUAGC
rnacentral:rRNA from 1 species